ensembl:lncRNA
UAAAUUGAGAAUUUCAUAGCAUUUAUUGAUCCCUAAGUUGUCCUUCUUUUCUGCAGAAAAGAAGGCCCAAACCCUACUUUUCCUACCCCUAGCUUUGCUCACUUAUUCAGAGGCACAAACUCUUUCCAAGGAGACAGAAGGCAAAGGUACCUACAGGAGAUAUCUGAAAAGGAGCUUAACUAUGAGCGUCCCACCACGUUCCCUCAUCUUCAGCAGAAACAACAGUUUGCUUCUCUCUUCAGUGAUCUACCACAGAUGGAGAGGACUGUUCCCACAGCCAGGAUAAUUCUGACACAAGAGGCUGUUAGUUGGUGAGAUGUCUUUUUAUAUUUGUCAUUGUGUAAAAUACAUCUAUUUUAAUACAUGACUGAGUGUAAAAAAAAUUAUUACCACAAGGUAAAUCAAUUGAAUGUUCUUAUAACAAAUAUGCAUUUCUAACAGAACAUUUUGUAUUAUGUUGGUGUAUUGCUCUAGAGUACUAACAAACAUCUGUUAUUAAACACAACCAAUCAAAAUCUGACUCAGUCACCCUGUAGAUAAUUUUAAAAUGCCUUAAAAUUUUUAAUUAUGCAUCCGUUGAGCACCACUUUUAAAAAUACUCAACACCAAACAGCUCUGAGUUUGGCUUAUUGACUAGUUCAAUAUAAUAUCUGAAAGACUGCAAGUGCCCUGUCACUAUUUGAACAAACCAAGGUUCUUCUACCACUUUGCUCUUUGUCCCUUUUUUUAUCACUCACAUGGCACAAUGGUUUAAGCUGCCUGGCUGUAAGAGGCACGGGAAUUUGUCAAAUGCACUGUUUGGGAAGGUAGGAUAGAAUUCCCAAGUACAUUUCUAAGGGACUAGGAAGGGAUGCAGUAGAUUGUACCUCUGGCCCAGUGUCAGGCUCAUGGAUUUUGGUCAGCUGGCUCUCUUAGUGUAC